GACGAACGCUGGCGGCGUGCUUAACACAUGCAAGUCGAACGGAAAGGCCCUGCUUUUGUGGGGUGCUCGAGUGGCGAACGGGUGAGUAACACGUGAGUAACCUGCCCUUGACUUUGGGAUAACUUCAGGAAACUGGGGCUAAUACCGGAUAGGAGCUCCUGCUGCAUGGUGGGGGUUGGAAAGUUUCGGCGGUUGGGGAUGGACUCGCGGCUUAUCAGCUUGUUGGUGGGGUAGUGGCUUACCAAGGCUUUGACGGGUAGCCGGCCUGAGAGGGUGACCGGCCACAAUGGGACUGAGGUACGGCCCAGACUCCUACGGGAGGCAACAGGGGGGAGUAUUGCACAAUGGGCCGGAGCCUGAUGCAACAACGCCGCGUGCGGGAUGACGGCCUUCGGGUUGUAAACCGCUUUCGCCUGUGACGAAGCGGGAGUGACGGUAAUGGGUAAAGAAGCACCGGCUAACUACGUG
rnacentral:rRNA from 1 species